rnacentral:lncRNA from 1 species
CACUUCUCCCCGGUGCCUUCUUCAUCCCCAGGCAAGCCACAAUACCCACUUGCAUGAUAGUCAUGCAGUAGCCAUGGUUUUCAACUUGAAUCUUUAUUAAAUGUUUGCUUGUUGAAAAGAUGGUUAUCGUUGUUCCGGUGAUGUUUAGAUUUGCAUGUUCACUUUUGUGCUAUGUUGUUUUGUACUCUGUGAUCAUGUUAUACCUGCUAGUAUGUCCUUUCAUAUGUUUAUGCUUGCUAGUAGUACAUGUUGAUGUUGGUGAUGGUCAUGCUAGUCAGUAUGCUAUGCUCAGUGGAUAUGGUUUAUUGUUGAUAUGAUGGAUAGUUAUGUGAUACCCUCAUGAUGAUGUUGAUAUCAUGUUCAUGCAUUUUAUCAUGGCUCGGCAUAUUUUCAUUCAAGUUAACUGGAUUAAAUUGAACUUGAACACAUGUUGGCUGAGUCAUGGUGCCGCUGAAUCAAUGCUGACCAGUGCAACCACGCUUACCGGUAUGGGACGGUCCUAACUGGGUCUAUUGUUGUGCCUCUCGCCGAUGCCUCCAACGAGGGAAGGUUAUGGGCAUGUGCUACCCCGAUCAGGUAGGCGAACAUAAGCCUUGUGUGCCCGUUGUUGAGUUAGUUUUUGGAUCCUUGUCCCAGAGUAGGACGGGCCACGACGGUGGUCGUUGUGUUUGGAGGUAGGCACGGGGCGACCCAUGACUUAGCUCAAUAAGGAGUGAGUCGGAGUGGCCGGGAGAGUGUCAUGGCAGUAGGACGGUUUUGUCGGAACGUCAUUGGUCCACCCGGAUGGGAGUGCGAGGCCAUGGGUUUCGUAGUGUGGGUAUAGUGUACUAACCUAUGCAGAGUGUAUAUUAAAUCUAUCGAUAGCCGCGCCAGCGAAUAAGGGCCCAGGUCGAAAGUAGGUCACACCAUGAGUCAACAGUAAUAAGAAUAAUAUGCUUAAUAACAGUGAGAUAAAUUGGCCAAGUGUUGGUCGGGUUGUGAUCGUUGUAAGGAUCACGGGCCAUGUAGUGGUCGGGUUGUGAUCGCCUAAGGAUCACGGGCCAUUUAGUGGUCGGGUUGUGAUCGCCAUAAGGAUCACGGGCCAAGUGUUGGUCGGGUUGUAAUCAUUGUAAGGAUCAUGAUGGUAUCGAGGAUACCGAGAUGGUGUAUAUUCGUGAUGUUGUGCGAGAAUCGUGGGUAAAGAUCGAGCUCCUUGUGUUCAUUUACUGAUCGCUAUGGUAUUGUUUAUACCAAGCUUGAUUGGAUCCUGAGAUGAUCGUGUGAUGUCCGAGGUUGGUAAGUGAUGCAUGUGUUGGUUACGAGGUAACCAAGCAGAAUAAGUGGUGCAUAUGGUGUCAUCAUGUUGCAUGCUAGUAUUGUCGGAUUAAUAUGUUCAUGUUGAGAUAGCUGUAUCAUGUUUAUGUUGGCCAUGCCAUGUUAUUCUGAUGAUCUCAUGAUAAUUCCUGUUUAACCUGUAAUUGCCAUGCUAUUGUUUGUCUUCAAUGCUUCUGGAUUAUUGUGAGCUUGCAAGUACAUUCAAUGUACUGACCUGGCGUGUCAUGCCAGCUUGCAGGUCAUGCCGGAUUUGAUUGCUUGCUUGUCAUGGUUUCCGUUCGUGCGAGCUAGGAUAAGCGUUCCAGCCAGAGUCCCUGUGAAGUGGAGUUCACCACCAUCGUCGUUGUUCCGCUACUAGAGUUAUUCCGCUGCUUCAAGUUGUUUCUGCUGCUUGCAUAGAGCAACUGAGGAUGGCGUAGUAUCGUUGUACCGAUGUUAUUCAUUGUAAUAUCGGAGACCUUGUAUUCAUAUUUGUGUAAUAAUAGAAAGCUGGUUUGUUCUAUGCUAAGCAGUGCCCUAUUCCAGAAGACUUCUCCUCAAUCUCUGGGCUGGAAUACGGGGCGUUCCGGUUUCUCUGAGCCGGGGUGCCAUAGCGCUUGGUAUUAGAGCAGGUCUGGCUAUAGGACGCCCUAGACCUUGCGAACGCUAGAAAGCGGUAGUAUAUACCCCAGUUGGUUUGUUGCAAUUGAUUGCUGCAUUUGUUUGUCGCAUAGCAUGCAUAUAGAUUAUUAUUUGUUCUAACCGUUUAUCUGGUGAGUGUAGCUGGCAUCGGUUCGGAUCCACUACAGCUCAACCUUUGCAUUUCUCUAGUUCCCAUUUUCUUUUGGUGUUUGGUGUCAUUUCUGUCCCAGCAGAGUGAUGCCAAGUGAUCCUGACACUUUUUGCAAAAAUGGUGCUCAGGUAUCGCACCGAGGUCUUUCCUUCAGUCCCUCCUAUCAUUUCGAUGAUGGACAUGCGUCUAUCCCGGAUCGUUCUUUUAUUUUGUCGUGUUGGCAACCCUUAAUGAUCUUAGUUAUCAAGAAAGGGCAAUGUCAACAGCCUCAGCUUUUCCCCGCUAUCAUAUUUCUUGGACGAGUACGGAUCUUUUUCCGUCUGCUUGAUAAUAAUGUGGUUGCGGCCUUCAUGUCCCACUACAUGAUUACCGAGUGUGUCCUUGUCUCCGAGCUAGUCUAGGUUGCUACCUGGCUAAGCUAGCACUUGGUGUAGUGCUGUUUACACCAAUUCUUCCACACACUUAUUCGUCCUCGUGCACAUUGUCACGGCAUGUUAGAUUGUAGUACCGGUGAUUCCGUGAAAUUUUUGUGCUUAGGUGUGCAUGCAUAUUAUUGUGUGACUAGCAGUAAUAUGUGAUGAUUGCUUGAUUAAUUAUAUUAGUAGUAUGCUUGUGUGCUUUUGUUUUAGUCGUUUAUGUUGUUCCUUUCUUUGGGCCUUCGGUGUUACAAAUUUUUCCCCUAUUAAAGUUGCUCGUCAUCUGACACUGGGCCCGAAGAGUCAACAAGAAAUGCAUAUAUUUGGAAACUCAGCUAAACAGAAUGGAAUUAUCAGCUGACUGCAGUGAAAUUGAGAAUAUCUUGUCUGGAUGCAAAAGUAAUCCUGGAUGGAAUAUCAGUAUAAAGUUUGCAUUAGCAUGCACUCAUCACAACAAAAUGAUUAAAUCAGCAGGAAGAUAAAUUGUGUGCAAGGUUGACGGAAUAUUAUCAAAGGUAUGGCUCAGAUACAAGUUUAAUUUUUUGUUGAGGAUGAUUUUGGAACUCGAUGUACCUGGAAGCAAGCAGAAAUAUGGCAUAUCCUCAGAAAGGAGAAUAGUCCAGUAAAACCCUGUUUCAUACAAGAAAUCAACAUCAGAAAUAUUAAGAUGGUAUGUAUAUGCGGAAAUCGGUCUGGAUAUCACAAUAAGAAGUUUCUGGUGUAAGCAACCCACUUUUCCCUCGCAAGAUACCCGAGAAGCUUCCAAGCCAAGAUUCAUCUAUUUUCCUCAGUAUGAUAUAUGGAUGAUUUCCCGUGCAAGUACUCUGCCUUCUUCAGUAAGCAACCACAAAAGCGUCCGGCAUAAGGUACUGAGUCUUUCCCCAACAAAGUCUUUAAGGGGGUAAGCUUCUGAAGCAUGAUAUUCAGUCUUCUUCAGCAAGCUGUCCGAUGAAAAGAUUCGAGCACAAGCCAGCCCAUCCUCCUUAGUAAGACAUUGGUACAAGGUAGUACACUGUGAAUUGACAACCUAUGGUAGUGAAUCCCAAGAAUCAGAUCCGCAACAUUUUGGUCAGAAUCAAGAAUCAGUCAGAAUACACGUCUGUCUCGGAAUCAGGUCCUCAUAUAUAUGCAAUGAGCAUACCAUCAAGAUCUUACAAGUGACUCGGAUGAGGAUCUGAUAACCACGUGAGGAUGAUUACGAGAAUAAAGUCAGUAUACACCGCAGUGUCACAAAGGAUUAUAGGAUUGACGACAUCAGUGAGCUUCAUACAAGUACCCGUGAACCUGGGAAAUGAUCUUGAUGAGCCCUUGUCCCCUUUUUCUCCAAUGACGGCACCACGCCUAUAAUCUGAGUUGUUUCUAGCUAUCCGGGGUGGAUGCCUAUUUUUGUAUCUCUCUUCAAUGACUGUCAUGAGUCUGAGCUACUUUUCGGCCGUCUCGUAUAGCUGUUGAGUUUCUUUUUGUGACAGUAGCCCGAUAGCUGCUUUUUGGCUAUUUUAGGGAGCUGCCACCUUCUUCUUAUUGACCCGGUCUCAUGCUUUGAGCUGUUUUUCGGCCGUCCUGAGCCGUGGUUGAGUUAUUUCAGUAAUGUCCUAGAUCCGAGUUGUAAAGACCAUUCUGGUGGCUACUUAUUUAUUUGCCGAUUUCUUGCAAAGGUUUCGGAUGAUCAUUUCCCAACACUCAGAACUUGGGAGGUGUUGAACCUGCCAUUUAAUGGGUCACCCUGUCAGAAAAAUGAGGAUAAGCUUCAAUUGCCGAAAAAUUGCACCGACAGUACCUAUGGUCAUACAAAGAAACAAUAUGGCCAGCUCUUUCAGCCAAGGAUCUAGGCCAAGAAAACAAUAAUGAAGGAGCAAGACCAAUGAUGCAUGUAUGAAAAUUGUACACGGCCCCCAUGGUGCAGAUCCCCCGGACAGUCUAAGUCAGUAUUGAUCCACAUGGAUAUGCCUACAGCAUGAGUAAUCGGCAUAAGGAAUAACAAUCUCAAAGCCCGAGUCCUCACUUAUAUGAAUCAUCAUGGGUAGCCUGUCGUGAACAAAAUUUUUCCGUCAAGUCUGCAGAUAUUAUCAUACAGGCCAAACCCUUUAUGCUGGCCGCGACAGGAGACAAUCAAAUAUUUCGUACAGAUCCGAUACUCACGAUAGUGGAACCGGUUAAGAUGAUUCAGAAACGUCUACGAUGAGUCAGAAUCUGUCAGGAAACGAUUAUGUUUUAAUUCACUAUUUGAAACCCAAAGGACCUGCAUUUAGGGAAGAAACCCAAUGCAAUGAGUCAGAGUUUGAGUUUUCAUCAGAAAAAUUUGAUUAUCACUUUAUGAAAGGUUGUCAGUGCCAGGUGGCACACCCAGAGGAAAUCACUUUUGGAUUUGUGAGACGGACUUAUAUUUCAGUCGUGAUAAUUAAAUCACACUCAGCUAGUCAGCAGAUCUAAAAAGAAAUUGGAGCCUAUAUAAGCAUGAGCAAGCCAGGUAAGAUCUGUCAGAAUGUGGGUACAGUAAAGCUAACCACCCAGAGCCACUCAGAUAAAAAUUUAAUGGGAACAACAAUAAAGGAAAAAGGAUACCCGAGUUGGAAACGGUGUCCUUAAGUUAGAAUAUUCAUACUAGUUCCCUGAGCAACCAAAUCUCGAGGACGAGAUUUCUUUAAGGGGGUAAGGUUUGUGACAGCCUGGUUUUUGGCUCUUUCUUUUUCUUUUGUUUUUCCGAGGUUUUUGCUUGAGUUUUCUUUUUCUGUGGCUUUGUGGUCUGGAAACUUAAGAAGAUGACCUCUUCUUUGCUUCCAGAGUGGCUUGUCAUUCACAAAUCUUUCCCUAGACCCUGUCAUCUUCAUCCUAGCCCAAAUCCCAAUAUUCUGUUUAUUAGGAGUAUUCCUUUUCUAUUAAAGGAAUAACUCAAAUUGCCUUAGGUUGUGAAGCAACCUAUAUUUCCCUCACUCCUAAAAUUCCCAAAUAAUUCUCAAAAAUUGUUUGGGUCAUAUCUUGAUCAAAUAUGGCAAAACUUUUCAUUUCCAUGUUCAAAAAUAAUUCCCCAAUAAUUCAUUUCCUAUUCUGCCCUAAAUGGCACUUUGUGAAGGAAGUGCCAUUUAUGUUUCUCCUAUUAACUCCCAAACUUUUUGGGCAUGUUUACAUGUCCAAAUUAUUGCCCCAUGCACAAGUUAAAAUUUAUUUGCCUAGCCAAGCUUCCUCAGUGAAAUUUCAAAGUUUCUGUCUAACAGAAGGCUUUGUGAAGGAAGUACUAGCUAGGAGUACCCAAAUGAGUUGAAAUUUUGCACACUCCUUAAUGUGCUCAUAUUAACCCCUUCCACACAUUUUCAUCCCCAUACAAUUAUCUAUAUGAGCACAGGAGCAAAUCUUUGAUUCUGGCAAUAUUUUCAGGUUGUGAAGCAAGUGUAUUUUAUAUUGCUUCAAAAAUCCUAAUAAAUUACCAGAUCAUUCUUAUGCCCAUAAAACAUCUCUCCACCAAUUUUGGCAUCAUUUCAGUGAGCCAUUUGAUCACCAUAAUUAUUCCAAGUUUCUAGACAGAAAUGUUGUUUGUGAAGCAAGUGAUAUUUUGGUUUGUCCAUUUGGCAUGGGCUUUUUACAGAAUAUUUAUAUGUCCAUAUCAUGAGGAUUUGCCAAGUUUCAUCCCAUUCCACCACUCCAUUUGAGUCCACCAUCAUGAUCUUCCUUUCUGGACCAAGUAUGCAGUUGUGAAGCAACUGCAGUAAAUCUUGAUCCUUUUACCCUCCCAACCUCCAGGGUGAAUAUCCUUCGAUAUCUAAACCUCCCAGACAAGCUAGUUACUUAUUUACCUAGCUGGUUUAACAACCGCAAGUUACAAACACCUUCUUACUGAUUUACUUUUGGAGCUAAGCGCAAAUCUAUUCUUUGCCCCUGGACCUAUUUAUUUCUUUAGUUGGACUAAGGGCAGCAAGGUCAUUCCAAUGGACAUGGUUGGCCCGACCAAAACGUGGAUUUUUCUCCAGUGCGCGUGGUGAUCACGCUGAUGUCAUGCAAAUGGCGUGCUCUGGAUUCUUCCCGGUCCUGUGCCCGUCGUCUCCCUCCUCGUAUCGACCUCAAAACUUGUCUAGUAGCUCCCCCGUGAUGCCCUUCACCUCCCUGCGUCGAUGGCACGUCGUGGUUCGCCAUGAAUGCGCCGCUAGCGCCAUGCCCGUGCCAUGUCCAGCCUCUGCCCGCCAUUAAAGCUCGGUCGGGAGCUCGCCCGUGAGCUCCAGAAGCCUCCCCUCGGCUAUAUAAGCACGACCCGAGCCCUCCCUCAGCUCAUCCACUCCUCACUUGCCUCCCUAGACCACCGGAGCCCUCGGCCCCCUCCUCUCUUCACCGGAGUCCGCCUCGGCCAUCGCCGGUCUUCUUGUUUCCGGCGAGCCUAGUCCUCCUCUCCACCUCCUGACCCCUCCACCGUGUUCCCCUCCUCCCAGAGAGCCUCCCCACCACACUCGUUCGACCCCGGAGUCCCUCUGGCCGCCUCCUCGACCGAAGCUUGGCCGUCGCCGUUGCUCUCGGCCACCUCCUCAACCGAGCCCAUCCGGUGCUCCUCUCUCCCUCCCGUCGCCACCAGAGCGUCCCACUCGUCCCCACGAGUCGCCCCGACUCCUCAUCCCUCGCCGGAGCGCCCUGCUCCGACGAACUCCACCGCCACCGAGCCGCUUCUGUCCUCCUCAUGGCGCCGCCCGCCGCCGCCGUCCCAGGCCUCCCCGGCGACCCCUUCCCCUCUGAACGGGUGCGGCACUGCCCCGCGGUCCCACCGGUUCCCUCGGCCGGGCCGGAGAUCACUGGAGCCGGCCGGCCCCUCCCCUGCCGCGGCCGCCCCCUGCCUCCUCUAUUCCGCUCGGGAGCGAGCACGGGAGGAAGAAGACAGGGGCGUUGACCCCAUCCCCUGCGCGGGACCUCCUCGUCAGCCACACAAGCCGGCCCCGCCUCUAUCCCUUUUGACCAGUCCACGCCACGUCAGCGUCAGUGGAAGCGUAUUUCACAGAUUACGUUUUCCAUUUUAGUGUUUUGGCCCAGUCUGUAAAAUAAAGUUUUACAGAUAGGUCCCUGGCAGUAAAACCUCAAUAUCUUUUUAACCGUAACUCCAAAUGAGGUGAAACCAACGCUCGCUUCUUUGUUUCGCCGAGCCCUUUCCAUUGGUGUCACUUUCAUUAUGUUUUGGCAUACUGAAAAUGACCAUUUUGCCCCCGCCCUUAAUCAGCCCCCUCCGAGAGAGAACGUUUUCCGGCGAUUCUUUCCACGGCUUCACCGCACUUCUCCCCGGUGCCUUCUUCAUCCCCAGGCAAGCCACAAUACCCACUUGCAUGAUAGUCAUGCAUUAGCCAUGGUUUUCAACUUGAAUCUUCAUUAAAUGUUUGCUUGUUGAAAAGAUGGUUAUCGUUGUUCCGGUGAUGUUUAGAUUUGCAUGUUCACUUUUGUGCUAUGUUGUUUUGUACUAUGUUAUCAUGUUAUACCUGCUAGUAUGUCCUUUCAUAUGUUUAUGCUUGCUAGUAGUACAUGUUGAUGUUGGUGAUGGUCAUGCUAGUCAGUAUGCUAUGCUCAGUGGAUAUGGUUUAUUGUUGAUAUGGUGGAUAGUUAUGUGAUACCCUCAUGAUGAUGUUGAUAUAAUGUUCAUGCAUUUUAUCAUGGCUCAACAUAUUUUCAUUCAAGUUAAUUGGAUUAAAUUGAACUUGAACACCUGUUGGCUGAGUCACGGUGCCGCUGAAUCGAUGCUGACCAGUGCAACCACGCUUACCAGUAUGGGACAGUCCUAACUGGGUCUAUUGUUGUGCCUCUCGCCGGUGCCUCCAACGAGGGAAGGUUAUGGGCGUGCGCUACCCCGAUCAGGUAGGCGGACAUAAGCCUUGUGUGCCCGUUAUUGAGUUAGUUUUUGGAUCCUUGUCCCAGAGUAGGACGGGCCACGACGGUGGUCGUUGUGUUUGGAGGUAGGCACGGGGCGACCCAUGACUUAGCUCAAUAAGGAGUGAGUGGGAGUGGCCGGGAGAGUGUCAUGGCAGUAGGACGGUUUUGUCGGAACGCCGUUGGUCCACCCGAAUGGGAGUGCGAGGCCAUGGGUUCUGUAGUGUGCGUACAGUGUACUAACCUCUGCAGAGUGUAUAUUAAAUCUAUCGAUAGCCGCGCCCACGGAUAAGGGCCCAGGUCGAAAGUAGGUCACACCAUGAGUCAGCAGUAAUAAGAAUAAUAUGCUUAAUAACAGUGAGAUAAGUUGGCCAAGUGUUGGUCGGGUUGUGAUCGUCGUAAGGAUCACGGGCCAUGUAGUGGUUGGGUUGUGAUCGCCGUAAGGAUCACGGGCCAUUUAGUUUUCGGGUUGUGAUCGUCGUAAGGAUCACGGGCCAAGUGUUGGUCGGGUUGUGAUCACCGUAAGGAUCAUGAUGGUAUCGAGGAUACCGAGAUAGUGUAUAUUCGUGAUGUUGUGCGAGAAUUGUGGGUAAGGAUCGAGCUCCUUGUGUUCAUUUACUGAUCGCUACGGUAUUGUUUAUACCAAGCUUGAUUGGAUCCUGAGAUGAUCGUGUGAUGUCUGAGGUUGGUAAGUGAUGCAUGUGUUGGUUACGAGGUAACCGAGCAGAAUAAGUGGUGCAUAUGGUGUCAUCAUGUUGCAUGCUAGUAUUGUGGGAUUAGUAUGUUCAUGUUGAGAUAGUUGUAUCAUAUUUAUGUUGGUCAUGCCAUGUUAUUCUGAUGAUCUCAUGAUAAUUCCUGUUUAACCUAUAAUUGACAUGUUGUUGUUUGUCUUGAAUGCUUCUAGAUUAUUGUGAGCAUGCAAGUACAUUCAAUGUACUGACCUGGCGUGUCAUGCCAGCUUGCAGGUCAUUCCGGAUUUGAUUGCUUGCUUGUCGUGGUUUCCGUUCGUGCGAGCUAGGAUAAGCGUUCCAACCAGAGUCCCUGCGGAGUGGAGUUCACCACCGUCGUCGUUGUUCCGCUACUAGAGUUAUUCCGCUGCUUCUAGUUGUUUUGCUGCUUGCAUAGAGCAACUAAGGAUGGCAUAGUGUCGCCAUACCGAUGUUAUUCAUUGUAAUAUUGGAGACCUUGUAUUCAUAUUCGUGUAAUAAUAGAAAGCUGGUUUGUUCUAUGCUAAGCAGUGCCGUAUUCCAAAAGACUUCUUCUCGGUCUCUGGGCUGGACUACGGGGCAUUUCGGUUUCUCUGAGCCGAGGUGCCACAACCCGGGGCCGUAG